UGCCAUUACAAAAGAAGAAGACGACUCUACCUGAUUCUGAUAAGCAGACAGAAAUAUGCUGCCAGAUCGUCGGAAGUUUUGCUGUAUAUAACGAGAUGGACAGUUUGGAUCUGGCGAGGCCACGUGCAGUGGGCUGAAUGUUGCUGGGAAUCAGGAACAAUCCACAGCAGAUGAUUCAACGAAGGCUCGGACUGUAUCAAAACAAGACACUGAAUCCAUGGCGGAAGAAAGUAGGACCACUCACAAGAGCGUUUUAGGGAUGAAAACCAGAAAAUGUCUUGAGAUAAAACCCUGAACGAUGUCUUAAUGUGUGGUGGUGUAAGUGGAAUAAUUAACUCUGACCCAUUGAAUUAUUGAAAAAUAAUUGUAGAAGACGUAACUGUGUUGGGCCUCAUAUAUUCAGAUAGAAGACAAAGGCAGGCCUAACACAGUCGUAAAAACCUAACUCAAGCCCCCACAUUCCAAGUCGUAAAUUAUACUGAUAAAAAUCGUGCCAAAAUCAAACAAAGGGAGUCCAAAACAGACUACAAAUCCCAUGAAGCCUUGCUCACUAAAGGAUCGAACUCUCAACUCCUAUUGGAUGAGGCACACAACAGAACGCACCUCAAACCAUGACAUCAUCAGGAGUUGAAAUACCUCUGAAAUGCUUUCGGGAUUGGCUUCCAGCAACUUUGUUUGCAGCGUGUGGACGCAGCUCUUCACUGCUCUCAGGUGCAACCUCGUGGCACAAGGAAGUAACGUCCGACUUGAAACUGUGGCCAUACAAUCUCCAUCUCACUGGACGAGUUGAGAUUACUCUGUGUUCAACCGAACACUCUAACGGAUCCGAAGGAGACCGCCGAGCAAUUCGCAUCUUCAUCCGUUUGCCUACAGAAGUGAAGAGAUUAAAGAUUUCUCUUCCAUCUUCAAUCAAGUCGACAUUUCUGAGUUCUCCGCCAGCCCGCAGAGAAUCAACAGCCGUACCGCCCGCCGACAGAGCGAGGAAACGGCCUCCCGUCAUCACCCGAGCCUCAAGGAACCGGGUCAGAGUUAAAGGACGGAGGAAAACUAAUUCUACCUGUGUCCUCAUGCGAUUCAAGUAAGAGGUUUACGUCUGGGCAGAGAUAGAAUAUUAUAGUGUGUUAUUCUUGUUUUUCAAGAUUUUUUGAUUGUACAGUUUACGGACCGCCAUGUCCGCUCAUUAUUAAUACUCGGGGUAUUAAUUAUCACAAAUUUGUUUUGCUGUAUUGUGGUCCAACCAAAUUGGACUGUUGUGCAAUUUCGCCAUCGCGGGUGAGACAGCAACUGAGUUCAUCCAUUAAAGAGUCAAAUAACGUGGGACUGUUUACGAGCCGUCCAUCGCGUUUCUGAGCGAUGAACUAACAGCUGUUUUCUCUCCCACGAUCGCGAAAUCGGCUUUAGGGCUGUCACUUCUCUCUCUCUCUCUCAUACUAACCACACACACACACACGCGACCCCUCACAAACAUUCUGGCACACAUUUUUGGCUCGUAGAAAGCCUUAAUGCAAAAGCCCAGCUUUGGUAGACGCCAUUGACUGGUUUCUCUCCGCCCCCAUUCGCGGUCAUAUUCCCUGGCCGGAAGUCUCGCGUGACAUACUCUCCACGAGAGUCACGUCCGCCAUUUUGUGCGCGUCCCUCCUUACACACACACACACACACACACACACACUGUCACACACACACCUUAUGUGUUAUAGGAUUAUUUUAUUUCCAUAUCUAAUCAUAUCACUGUUUAGUUUGUAGUUGUAAGUCCGAAGUUUAUUGACUGCAUUGUAUUAAUUAUUAAUUGAUAUUACUGCAUAAAUAAACUUUGUUUAUAUU